CAAACAGCAGUGUAAUGUACAGUAUUCAAUCCAACGCGACGCGCGGCCAACCGCUCGUGGGAGGCUUGUGCGCCAGGAAGACCAAAGUGCCACUGAGUUAUGUGUAAUAGAUCUCUCCUUAGCCAUCAGCUAACCCCCCUCCCCACACACCAUGACCUUUCAGGAGCAGCCACCAUCACACUCGCGUGCCAGGGGCUUCGAAUGGUUGCUGGCUGAGGGUGUGGGGGCGUAGCAUGUUCGAUUUCCAUCGCGUGUGGGAACAAGCUACAGAGAGAUUCUUCAUCUGUACCUGCCAGGGUCUAUUAGGCCCCGCGAUAUCGCUUUUUAGGCUCCACGUAGUGACGGGACCCAUCAAACGUAGUGCGUAUCUAUGGGAACGACCAACUGCCAGACAUAGGUUUGUAGGCUUAUUAGAAAAUCUUUAGAGGCUUAGGAAUAAGAGCAUCAUCAAUUAUUUUUUAAUUUUUAUUCUGUUUUUGUUUUGUUUUUUAUUAAACUUUCAGUAGCUCGACCGGCAUGUUUUUUAAAUUAUAAAUACUAUUACAAAUACAAGUUUAAAAUGUUUGUGUUGAGCUGCUGUUUUUUUAAGAGUAGAACAUCUUGAAAACUUAGCACUUUAUGAUAAACAUGCAUUUGUUUUUGCUAAGAAGAGGAUCUUUUGAGAAAAAGAAAAAACAAGCCUUUCCACCUGUAAGCAGGAUAUACCUCAAGAACAGUCAUGACUUCUCACUGCCAUACGAUGAACUAGGCUCGAUCCAUACAUAUCAUUCCAUAUGGGGUCUUUUGUUAUUUAUUGGGAUGCCGAUAAAUCCAGCCCCCUCCACCUUUUAUAAUAACGAGCUAGCUAGGUAGCGUACGUUGUCUUGUAAAUAAUAGAGUAGGGUUUUACUCUUUGAUAUUUUAACCAUCAACCAGAUCGCAACUCUCAAAAAGGGUUACAAUGACAAUUUUAACAAGUUAUUGGGUACAAAUCCAGUUUUAUACAGACCUGCGAUGUUGGAGGGGGGGGGGGGAUGACUUAAACUGAUAUUUGGUGCUAAUUCUUCUUGAAUGGAUUUAGACGUUGAUUUCUAUGAUUUCUAAUGCAUACUAUGAUAAACUAUCGUCUUUCUGUUUUUCUUCCGUUCUUUUAAGCAAGCUGAGGUAACCCAUCGAAUAUAGGCCUAGGCAUGAUGUACAAAUAAAAAAAUAGAAAAAAAUAUAUUUUUUCAGCUGUUUUCAAUAUAAUGUAAUUUUUUUUGUGUUUUAUUGACGGUUUAUAAAAUAACUUAUCUUUUCUGGGGAUUUCUAAAGCGUUUGAAAGAUUUUCUUGAGCUUUUGAUUUAAAACAACAAAACAAAAAAUCUGAUUUUCACCUCACUUUCACCAGGCAGCCUUGUUUCAACCAAUGCUUAUCAGCAAAAAUAUCUGCUAGCUGAGGACAACAAAAACACUGUAUAAUCCUCUCGAGUCCCACCUGGGAUAAAAAGCACAAAAUGGUCACACAGCCGCGUGCCACUUUGUGUGUGUGUAUGUGUGAAUGUGUGUGUGUGUGGAUGGUUAACCUCUCCCCGUUUAGCUCAUCUACCCCCUGAACGCGACUCAGGGAAGCAGCCUUGAUCUCUCCCUAGCCCCGCCCCCAAAUCUCACCCAAACUCAAAGCAUGUGGCGCAUGUGUCCACGCACACUCUCACACUGACACUACACACACUGACAAAUACACACAACAGUCGAAACUAAAAAAAGGCUUGUGGUAAAAAAAAAAAAAUGCUGUGUACACCUCUCAAGGUAAACAUGCACUUUUUUUUCCUUCCCUUUUUUCUUCUUUUUCUUUUCUACAUUGUUCUGUGUUUUUUUAAAUCCUCGCUCAUGUUUGUGCACACUAACCUUGUCUCCGUGACGCGAGACUGCUGUGAAUCUUAACCCUGUCCGGGAUCAUCUACCAAGGGCCAAACCGACCAGACGGCUGCCAACAUUUUACAGACUUUCCCUGAGAUUUUUAACACCGUUUACAAUACUGUGAUGUUGUCUGGGGAUAUAUACAGUAUAUUGCAGAAACACCUUUUGAAAAACUACAAAUGUGAACGCAGCAAAUCCUGCCCGAUCCCGGGACAACACUCCCGUCACCAUCUCUUGUCUUCUUUUGUAUCCAAGUAUGUGUCCCUUUCCCCAUUACAGUAUUUUCUAGGUAAAUGUAAAUAAUAAAUACAAAAAAACAACAAAAUACACCCUCCUCUCCUCUACAGGGGUGGAUCUCAAAUGUGUUUCUUUUACGUCUCGGCCCCCUACCAGUUGUAACCAGAGUGUUUACGGCAUCCUGAGCACGCGACCAAAGAAGGUCCCGGUACGGUCGUCGUGACCACUAAUGACUUUAAACACACACACACACACCUUUCUCCGGCUGCCCUGUGUACAACUGAGGUGGAUGAUGUCAUUGAGGUGACGUUUUGCUGUUCUGACCCGGUCGUAGUGGGGGGCAGAGAGAGAGUGUGUUUUUGAAGGGGUGGGGUGGUAGAAGAGGCCCCCUACGUUUCCAGUUGUUGUGUACAACGGCAUGAAGUAAGGUUACUAUUUAUUGAUGAAAAUGCUGCUACUGUACAUUUGGCUCAAAAUAUGAAAAAGGGAAUGAAGAACCGAGUGUUCCCAUGUCUUGUUGCCUCUCGACGACGAAUAAAAAUGAAUCUCAAUGCCAAAAAAAAAGACCACUCGCAAGCAUUUUGUUGUAUAAUUCAAUACUCAUAAUACCAGUUGCAAGAUGGUUUGAACCCUGACACUUGUUUUGAUAUGAAUAAUGAGACACAUGCUGUAUGAAUUGUGUGUGUAUAUAAAUAUGUUUCACACGGAUCAUUAGGUUUCCCUG
ensembl:lncRNA